rnacentral:misc_RNA from 1 species
AAGUCGUAACAAGGUUUCCGUAGGUGAACCUGCGGAAGGAUCAUUACCACAUCCAAAAUCUUUUAUAAACCCACACAUGUGAAGUUAUGAUGAGGAACUUUUUUAUUCUUCAUUUUGAACCCCUUUUGAACUUUUUACAAGUAAUAAGCAAGACUACUAAAAAUGAGAAAAGAGAAAACAACUUUUAACGGUGGAUCUCUUGGCUCGU